rnacentral:rRNA from 1 species
AGAGUUUGAUUCUGGCUCAGAACGAACGCUGGCAGCGUGGAUUAGGCAUGCAAGUCGAACGAGAAGCUUUAGGUUCAAUUCUUCGGAAAAGUUCCUGAAGUAGACAGUGGCGAAAGGGUGAGUAACGCGUGAGCAAUCUACCCUUAAGUUCGGAACAACCAGGCGAAAGCCUGGCUAAUACCGGAUGUGGUCCCUUGGUGCAAGCCAGGGUGAUUAAAGGCGGGGAUCCUUCGGGACCUGUCGCUUAGGGAGGAGCUCGCGUCCUAUCAGCUUGUUGGUAAGGUAAUGGCUUACCAAGGCUUACGGGUAGCUGGUCUGAGAGGAUGGUCAGCCACACUGGGACUGAGACACUGCCCAGACUCCUACGGGAGGCUGCAGUCGAGGAUCAUUUACAAUGCACGAAAGUGUGAUAAUGCGACGCUGCGUGGAGGAUGAAGGCCUUAGGGUCGUAAACUCCUGUCAUGAGGGAAAAAUUGUUUACGUGCUAAUAACAUGUAGACGUGAUGGUACCUCAAGAGGAAGCCACGGCUAACUCUGUGCCAGCAGCCGCGGUAAUACAGAGUGGCUAGCGUUGUUCGGAUUUACUGGGCGUAAAGGGUGCGUAGGUGGUACUGUAUGUUGGAUGUGAAAUCCCAUGGCUCAACCAUGGAACUGCAUCCAAAACUGCAGAACUAGAGUACAGGAGGGGAGAGCGGAAUUCUUGGUGUAGCGGUGAAAUGCGUUGAUAUCAAGAAGAACACCGGUGGCGAAGGCGGCUCUCUGGAAUGUUACUGACACUGAGGCACGAAAGUUGGGGGAGCAAACAGGAUUAGAUACCCUGGUAGUCCCAACCGUAAACGGUGUCGACUUGGUGUGGGGGGAAUUGACCCCCUCCGUGCCGGAGCUAACGCGUUAUGUCGACCGCCUGGGGAGUACGGCCGCAAGGCUAAAACUCAAAGAAAUUGACGGGGGCCCGCACAAGCGGAGGAGCAUGUGGCUUAAUUCGAUGCAACGCGAAGAACCUUACCAGGGCUUGACAUGGCGACCCUUCGGGGGUGGAGGUGAAAGCCUCCUUUACGAUCACAGGUGCUGCAUGGCUGUCGUCAGUUCGUGCCGUGAGGUGUUUGGUUAAGUCCAGCAACGAACGCAACCCUUGUGGCUGGUUGCCACCGCAGGUGAUGAGCCUGCGAGCACUCUAGCCAGACUGCCCUUGUAAGAGGGAGGAAGGUGGGGACGACGUCAAGUCAGUAUGGCCCUUACGCCCUGGGCUGCACACGUGCUACAAUGGUCGGUACAGAGGGACGCAAUAUCGCGAGAUGGAGCAAAUCCCCAAAGCCGGCCCCAGUUCGGAUUGGAGUCUGAAACUCGACUCCAUGAAGUUGGAUUCGCUAGUAACGGCGUAUCAGCUACGACGCCGUGAAUGCGUUCCCGGGCCUUGUACACACCGCCCGUCACAUCAUGAAAGCCGUCUGCACCCGAAGUCGCUGAUCUAACCCGCAAGGGAGGAAGGCGCCGAAGGUGUGGGUGGUGAUUGGGAUGAAGUCGUAACAAGGUA